rnacentral:rRNA from 1 species
CAGUCGCCGCGGUAAAACGUAGGUGGCAAGCGUUGUCCGGAAUUAUUGGGCGUAAAGGGCUCGCAGGCGGUUUCUUAAGUCUGAUGUGAAAGCCCCCGGCUCAACCGGGGAGGGUCAUUGGAAACUGGGAAACUUGAGUGCAGAAGAGGAGAGUGGAAUUCCACGUGUAGCGGUGAAAUGCGUAGAGGUGUGGAGGAACACCAGUGGCGAAGGCGACUCUCUGGUCUGUAACUGACGCUGAGGAGCGAAAGCGUGGGGAGCGAACAGGAUUAGAUACCCGCGUAGUCCCUGUCUCUUAUAC